AGGGAAUCUUCCACAAUGGACGCAAGUCUGAUGGAGCAACGCCGCGUGAGUGAAGAAGGUUUUCGGACCGUAAAGCUCUGUUGUUGGUGAAGAAGGAUAGAGGUAGUAACUGGCCUUUAUUUGACGGUAAUCAACCAGAAAGUCACGGCUAACUACGUGCCAGCAGCCGCGGUAAUACGUAGGUGGCAAGCGUUGUCCGGAUUUAUUGGGCGUAAAGCGAGCGCAGGCGGAAGAAUAAGUCUGAUGUGAAAGCCCUCGGCUUAACCGAGGAAUUGCAUCGGAAACUGUUUUCUUGAGUGCAGAAGAGGAGAGUAGAACUCCAUGUGUAGCGGUGGAAUGCGUAGAUAUAUGGAAGAAUACCAGUGGCGAAGGCGGCUCUCUGGUCUGCAACCGACGCUGAGGCUCGAAAGCAUGGUAGCGAACAGGAUUAGAUACCCUGGUAGUCCAUGCCGUAAACGAUGAGUGCUAAGUGUUGGGAGGCUUCCGCCUCUCAGUGCUGCAGCUAACGCAUUAAGCACUCCGCCUGGGGGAGUACGACCGCAAGGUUGAAAC
rnacentral:rRNA from 1 species